UCAUGUUUCACUCACAGUUUGUACAGGCGAGGCGCGAGAGUGUGGUGACCGAGUCCGUCUGCCAGCUGUGUAAUCUCCACAGGGGAGUGAGAGAAUUAUAGACGUGGGUGUUUCCUUUACUCAUUUAUCAGAAUGCUGCUACAGGGGGAUGUUGAGGAAUAGAUUUACCCUGGUUGCCGAUCCAGUGCAGAGCUAUGAUGCUACCACGGCUUCUCCACUCUAACUCUUCACGGCCACUGCCUGGGUGGAGAGCGCUCACGAGGACCACAGCAAAUCCUGGAACUGCUACAUUCUCUCUCAUUGAUGGACCAGGGCACCUCUUUUUAGUAGACUGUCUAAGCUCAGAACAUGCAGUGAGCAGUUGGCGACAGAAGCACAGCACCCUCUUCCAGAUGGACAGAGCCAUAUGCUGCACGAGCCCCCACGGUGCCGAGCUUCCUUUGCUGUAGAAGGCAAAUCAACCCCUCUCCUCAGUCUUCAGUGUUGAUUCUAAAUCCAGUUGCUUUGAGUUCCCGGGGAACAUUUCAUUCUCUCUAGGGUCUUGUCAAUAAGUGCAACUUCAUAGCCAGCACACUGGCAGCCUAAGAAUACAUCUCUCUGGGUUUGGCUAACUUUAGUAUCUUUCCCCAAGAAAUUUUGAAGUCUGAUGACAGCUUUGAGAAAAUGGAGGAGGAGAAGCUUUCCAAAGACAAAAAUUCUGUAGCAUGAAAAUUUACCAAUUCGUCAGGUUGAAAUUCCUUACUCCUACUCUCACCUCUUAUCCGUUCAACUUUUUAGCGCCUAUCAUUAUGUAUUUAUAGUAACAACUUCUGUUUCAAAAUGACUCUACUUUUAGAUCAUUCAAAAUGUUUAUCAGUACUAUUUUUCAGGCCACUAUUGGCCAAUUAUUGGAUUAAGAGAUUCAACUCUCUUCUGUAAGAAAGCGCUCAAGGAGAAACAAGUGGUUUAUUCUAAAGCAAUCAGUGAAGCCUUUAUGACCCCUGAACCAAGAAUGCAAUUAAGACUAGCAAUGAAGUCCCCCCACUUUACAGUGGUUCUCUUCAUCCACAGGUUGACUCAGGUUUCAAAUGUGGGUUUUUUCCUGUGAGUUAAACUGUAUGUUGUACUUGCAGUGUAAACAUCUUACAAGAGUUGUUCCCAUGCCUUUCUUUCUAAAUGGUUCUCAUACCUACGUGUUCUGGGCUCAGUAAAUUUCCACCCCAUUAAUCUUCCUUCUGUUUAUUAAACAUACCAGACUUUUCUCAUC
rnacentral:lncRNA from 1 species